UACGUAGGGCGCAAGCGUUGUCCGGAAUUAUUGGGCGUAAAGAGCUCGUAGGCGGCUUGUCACGUCGGAUGUGAAAGCCCGAGGCUUAACCUCGGGUCUGCAUUCGAUACGGGCUAGCUAGAGUGUGGUAGGGGAGAUCGGAAUUCCUGGUGUAGCGGUGAAAUGCGCAGAUAUCAGGAGGAACACCGGUGGCGAAGGCGGAUCUCUGGGCCAUUACUGACGCUGAGGAGCGAAAGCGUGGGUAGCAAACAGG
rnacentral:rRNA from 1 species